rnacentral:rRNA from 1 species
GACGAACGCUGGCGGCGUGCUUAACACAUGCAAGUCGAACGGAAAGGCCCUGCUUUUGUGGGGUGCUCGAGUGGCGAACGGGUGAGUAACACGUGAGUAACCUGCCCUUGACUUUGGGAUAACUUCAGGAAACUGGGGCUAAUACCGGAUAGGAGCUCCGGCUGCAGGGGGGGGGUGGGAAAGUUUCGGCGGUUGGGGAUGGACUCGCGGCUUAUCAGCUUGUUGGUGGGGUAGUGGCUUACCAAGGCUUGGACGGGUAGCCGGCCUGAGAGGGUGACCGGCCACAUUGGGACUGAGAUACGGCCCAGACUCCUACGGGAGGCAGCAGUGGGGAAUAUUGCACAAUGGGCGGAAGCCUGAUGCAGCAACGCCGCGCGCGGGAUGACGGCCUUCGGGUUGUAAACCGCUUUCGCCUGUGACGAAGCGUGAGUGACGGUAAUGGGUAAAGAAGCACCGGCUAACUACGUG